rnacentral:rRNA from 1 species
CGACCGGCGCACGGGUGAGUAACGCGUAUCCAACCUGCCCUUUACUAUGGGACAGCCCGUCGAAAGGCGGAUUAAUACCGUAUGUUGUCAUGUUGAUGCAUAUUUUCAUGACCAAAGGCUUCGGCCGGUAAAGGAUGGGGAUGCGUCUGAUUAGCUUGCCGGCGGGGUAACGGCCCACCGGGGCGACGAUCAGUAGGGGUUCUGAGAGGAAGGUCCCCCACAUUGGAACUGAGACACGGUCCAGACUCCUACGGGAGGCAGCAG